CUACGGAGGAUGCGAGCGUUAUCCGGAUUUAUUGGGUUUAAAGGGAGCGUAGGUGGGAUAUUAAGUCAGCUGUGAAAGUUUGGGGCUCAACCUUAAAAUUGCAGUUGAUACUGGUUUCCUUGAGUACGGUACAGGUGGGCGGAAUUCGUGGUGUAGCGGUGAAAUGCUUAGAUAUCACGAAGAACUCCGAUCGCGAAGGCAGCUCACCGGGCCGGAACUGACACUGAUGCUCGAAAGUGCGGGUAGCAAACAGGAUUAGAUACCCUGUUAGUGCGCACAGUAAGCGAUGAAUACUCACUGUUUGCGAUACACGGUAAGCGGCCUAGCGAAAGCGUUAAGUAUUCCACCUGGGGAGUACGCCUAUAACGGUGAAACUCGAAGGAAUUGACGGGG
rnacentral:rRNA from 1 species